ensembl:lncRNA
GUUGUUUUGGUAACACUAGUGAAUUUGAACAGGAAGUUAAUGUAUUAUAAAAUUAUAAUUUGUUUCCAUUAUGUGGAACCUUGUCAGGAGAGGCCUCAGUGUCUCUAUGUGUGUGUCCGUCCAGAGUCCAGCUGUACUGAGGACCGUCCCCCUCAGAGGAGCAGGACACCCUCAUCUCUCCAUGGGUCAGACACUGAGAGGACAGCUGAGGAGAGGACACUGGGGCUGUGGAGGAAGAAGAAUCGACAUCUGAAGACAUCUGCAGACUUUCGCACAAACAAAUGAGAAAACAAC